rnacentral:rRNA from 1 species
GACGAACCGUGCGAACGUUGUUCGGAAUCACUGGGCUUAAAGGCGCGUAGGCGGCUCAUCAAGUCGGGGGUGAAAUCUUUCGGCCUAACCGGAAAAGUGCCUUCGAUACUGGUGAGCUUGAGCGAGGUAGGGGCAGAUGGAACUUCCGGUGGAGCGGUGAAAUGCGUAGAUAUCGAGAGGAACACCUGCGGCGAAGGCGGGUUGCUGGGCUGAUACUGACGCUGAGGCGCGAAAGCCAGGGGAGCGAACGGG